AGGUCUCUUUUCUUGUGGCCAUCAAGACUAACACGUGGAGAUAUUCAGCAGCACUGAUCCCGGCUGGUCAUUUAACACAGUGAAAUACACGACAAAUGAGACGUCCAUUACCUUUCCUCAAAACUCUCCUCUAUUGAAGACAGGGGUUUAUCUGCUUUCUGACUCACUAGACUAGACAUGAGCUCUAAGGAUGGAUUUUGACCAUCUGGGGACGGAGCUGCAGCAGAAGGGGUGCAGAGAAGCAGACGCACUGGCUGUAGAGCCUGUACUGUCUGCCUCGAAUUAAUGAGACGCAGUGAACAGAAUGGGAAAAUAGGCACGAUAUGCCUAUAAUACGUAUGCAAAUUUGGCUUUCUGAUGCUGUAUCUAACCUCUCACAGUAAAAAAGUUGAGGACAUUGGCUAUCAGUUUGUUAUCUGUGUAAUUGACAUUCUAGUUGUCCUAAGGGGGUAAAAAUCUUGGUACAUUAUUUAGGUUGGGGGUAAGGGGUAUUUUACCCCUCAAGCAGUUGCUAUUUGUUCUCUUUUCAAAGGCUGUGUUAGCUUAUGAGGUAUUCUGGCUUUGGCUAAUUCUGUCUUAGAAAAGAACAGCAGUCAAACUCAAUCAAAUUAUAACUGCCGUUAGACCAGACAGUCCCAAGAGGACGAAGAAAUAGAUCACACCUUCGGAUGUGCUUGAUUUUCAGACAUUCAUUUUCACUUUGAACAAAUGGCCUGAGCCUUUCCUUGGGGUACUUUCUUACAUCUAGGAGAAGGAAAAGAAAGGUCAUAUGUUCCUGAAGGCUGGGGAUUGUCACAUGUAACAAAGUCAUCUCAAAAAAAGAAGACUGCUCGAGAGAGGAUUUCCUCUGAUCUAAUUUUCCUAAAAAGAAAAACUCAGCUGACACACCGAAGGGAUUCAGAAUCCAAUGUCACCGAGUUCGGUUAUAAAUUUGUUUCAGUCAUUGAAGCAUGUUUACUCUUACAACAUCAAAGCAUGUUAUCUUCACUGACUCUUGGCCCCCUGGAAUUUAAGGUGACCCUAUCCAAAUCCCUAAUCUCUGUGAAACUCUGAAGUAGGACUUUCCUGACAGUUUCUUAGGGGAGCUCUGGGUGAUUAAGAGGUGUGAAAGAAGAUUAAGAUAAUGUUAAAAGCCCUAUCAGGUUAUUUCUAAAAUAAUCGGGAUGCUGAAAGGCAAGGCAUUUGUCUCUUUCACAAUUCCACCCACACUUAAUAGAACACAAUACAAUGUCUUGGUGGUGAGACUGUACUUCCUUAAAACAGUGUUUUCUUUCCAGCAUACUCUCUGGAGUCAUACAAGUUCAGCAGGAGGAGGAUGGUACUCCACCAGCUUUUUCUAAUGGAGACCCAAAUUGCUUGUGUGGUGGAAGUUCACUAGGAAGAGUUAGUGAGGGAAAUUUGGAUAGGACCAGAUCCCAAUCAUAGGGUGCAAUCACACCCACUGACAAGAACGGAAACUUGUCAAUGGUAGAAAAAGUUGGACAAGGCAGGAUGACCCUAUCUGAUUCCAGUGACUGCCAUAUAUGCAGAUGAGUUCACUGGGAUUAAGAGUGGGUAAGAUGAAUACAGGCUUCAAGAAGUAAUUCUUGUUUGUUUUCACUCUGGACUGAACCUUUGUUAUAAUUCCUUUGGCUAAUGGAAACAAUAAAAAAAAGAACUGGCUAGUUAUUUAAAAGUUUAAUCAAAGCCAUCAGUUAGUAUGCUUAUAAGGAAAGGGAACAUAGAAUAAGGAGACAAAUAUAACUACACUUUCUCCAUUUGAGCAGAGAAUGGCAGUACAUCUAUUAUUGGCUGCAUUAAGAUGGACCCUUUUACCCUCUUUUGUCCUUUCAGCACACAUUUGUAACUAAACUUAACUAAAGUAAUCAAAAACAAGAGGGGAUAUUUACUAUGGUAUAAUGACAGUGAAGUUUGCUUGGUUGGUUGGUUUUCUCCCCUUUUAAUCUUCAGUGAGCUAAUGAAUACAAAGGAUUUCUCCCUGAGUGUACCAGGUUCAAAAUUGUGGAGGGCAGAUUCUGUGAAUGAAGGGUUUUUACACCGGGAUUGCAGCCUAUAAAGUUAUCAUUUGAAAUAAAAAAAAAAAAAAUUAGCAUCUGCAAUCUGAAGCAGACCAAACAAAUACAUCGUGCAAUACACACAGUCUUCUCUGCAACUUUCCUCAGAAUGAACAAUUUUGGAACGGUGCUCAUCUGUAGUCUUGAGAGCGUAAAGAGUGUGUUGGAACAAGGACACAAUUAAAAGUGACUUUGGAGAUGGCAUUUACAGCUCAGUGGAGAGUGAUUGCCUACUGUGCAGUAAGCUCUAUGUUCAGUCCCUAACAUAGACCCAGAGGUGGAGCAAGUAAGAAGGGAGAAAAGCAAAUUAAACCUCUUUUAAGAAGAUUUGUUGAUUUAUAUUCAUUCAGCUGUAUAUGUAUCUAACUAUGUGUGUAGAUGCCUGCAGAGGCCAGAAGAGGGCACCAGACAUCCAAGAACUGUUACAGGUGACUGUGAACCUCCUGAGUAGACUGAGAAUAGAACUAUGGUCCUGUGAAACAGCAGUAGACAUUUGAAGAUGCAGUUUAGUCACCACCCUUCGGAAGAGAAAGGAUAUGAGAUACAAAAAAGCAAUGCUGAAUUCUUCAAAUCCUGCAUCUGCUUCAAAACUGGUGUCAUUUCUAUCCAUACUUUGUAUUUGUUACAAACUUCUUAGUAGAGCCCAACAUCUGUCAUAAGCCAAAUACUGUCCUUGUGCAAUGAUUUCUGUUGUGACACAAAUCCUAGAUGCAUGAAAUAAGUAGGUGGCAAAUUAGUCACUUUCCAAUGAUCCUUCUGAUUUCCAUCAAGAGGGAAGGUUUAAAUUUCUAUUCCUGCUUGUGCUGAUGCCUCUAACAAGCUGAAUGCUGGCUUCUCCUCAGACUUAAGAAGACUCCAAGUGUCACCUUUGAAUCUGAGAACAAUGCUUUGCAUUCAUUCAAUUUAUUUCUAAGUUUACCUUAUAGUGUGGACCAGGUGCAGAUAAUUAAAAGAUGAAUGAGAUAAGAUGCCCUCGAAAACUCAGUUAAGUGGCAGAGACAGACAAUGUGAAAGCGUAAUUUUGGUAUAAGGACAGCUCUCGAGU